CAGCAGUAGCCGCGGUAAUACGUAGGGUGCAAGCGUUAAUCGGAAUUACUGGGCGUAAAGCGUGCGCAGGCGGUUAUAUAAGACAGAUGUGAAAUCCCCGGGCUCAACCUGGGAACUGCAUUUGUGACUGUAUAGCUAGAGUACGGCAGAGGGGGAUGGAAUUCCGCGUGUAGCAGUGAAAUGCGUAGAUAUGCGGAGGAACACCGAUGGCGAAGGCAAUCCCCUGGGCCUGUACUGACGCUCAUGCACGAAAGCGUGGGGAGCAAACAGGAUUAGAUACCCCCGUAGUCCCUGUCUCUUAUAA
rnacentral:rRNA from 1 species